rnacentral:lncRNA from 1 species
UAACAUUAAAACUUAAGAUCAUGCAAAACAAAAAGGGAUUAACCAACACUAGGCAAAGCACAAUUCUAUACAUCUCAUGCUACAACACAUGGCAUAUCUAUACUUUUCUUACUUGGCUCUAUCUCUUUAUAACAUUACUCUUUCUAUUCUUUCAUAUCCCUUAUAUACAUAAGGACCAUACAUCAAGUCCAUCUAUCAUCAUCAUCAUCAUCAUCAUCAUCAUCAUCAUCAUCAUCAUCAUCAUCAUCAUCAUCAUCAUCAUCAUCAUCAUCAUCAUCAUCAUCAUCAUCAUCAUCAUCAN